rnacentral:rRNA from 1 species
UAAACGCUGGCGGCGUGCCUUAUGCAUGCAAGUCGAACGGUCUUAUUUCGAUAAGAUAGUGGCGAACGGGUGAGUAACGCGUAGGUGACCUACCUUAAGGCGGGGGACAACUCCGGGAAAUCGGGGCUAAUACCGCGUAAGCUCUCGAGUCAAAUUGAGAGUGAAAGUCUUUCGGGACGCCUUUUGAGGGGCCUGCGUUCGAUUAGCUUGUUGGUGGGGUAAAGGCCUACCAAGGCUGAGAUCGAUAGCUGGUCUGAGAGGAUGAUCAGCCACACUGGGACUGAGAUACGGCCCAGACUCCUACGGGAGGCAGCAGCAAGGAAUCUUGCACAAUGGGGGAAACCCUGAUGCAGCAACGCCGCGUGAGUGAUGAAGGCUUUCGGGUUGUAAAGCUCUUUUAUUGGGGACGAGAAAAAGGACGGUACCCAAUGAAUAAGCCACGGCUAACUAC